GUCACAUUUUAUCAGUAUCUCUAGAAGUGCCGUUACAAAAAGCAUAGAACAAGUGAAUAGAGUUGUCCAUCUUGCACACUGGUGUGGUCACAAUGAGGUGACACCAGAGUGUUUUAAACCACCUGUAAGAAAUUAAUCUUAAGGUUAUAUUUCCAGCCAACCAAGACUGACAAGUAACCAUCACAGAGAAUCUGUCCCCAGAGUUAAACAAGUUGUGGAUUUAUAUACACACACACACGUAUUUUACAGGAAUCUGAAUUGAUAGAAUCAUAUACAAGACUUCUGUACAGUCCCAUCAUUCUGAUGUUCUUCCCUCUCUUUACUUUUGUUCUUGUAGCCCACCAUUGGAUAAGAUCUGUCAGGAAAACUUCACAAAGCCUGUGCAGCAGCUGACUGCUGUCCCAAAGCUGACCCUGAAAUAAAUCAGCAUUUCCUACCUUUCAGAACUCCCAAUGAGUAUUUCCUUCAACCACACCAGAGCCUAGAGCCCAGUAUGCUGUUCAAGGAACAGUAGGACAACAAAGUGUCAUUCCUGGAAUAGUAAGGAAACUGCUUAUUUUGUACUGGAUACAUACUUUUUAGUCAGGUAGUAUAGAACAGUUUGAAGAAAUAUUGGUAUAUGCCUAGAAAGAGCUGCACACACAUUUCAAACACUGGAGUAUUUCACCCACCACUGUCAAAUCAGAUAAUUUUUAUUUUACACAAUAUUGUAAGAAAAAUACUUCUCUUCAGAAACCUUCUUCUAUAUUUUCAGUUUUCAGUAUUCUAGUAAAAACACCUGUAUUGUCCUAAGUUUAAUUCUCAAUUUCUCUACCUUCCUUUCCUCUCUAUUUUCCCAGGAAAAAUGACAACUCUCAAAAAGCCUUGAAUUUAAGAAAGCACAAAGAAGAGAAAUAUGUUACAUCCAUAUGGUUGCAAGAAGCUCUGCUUUUCUUUCUGCUCCUACCCUUGUUCUGGUUAUCAACUACGAGAGUGCAGUUGAAAACUGCUGCAAACAGCCUAGUCCCAGCAUUUGAUUGAAUCUAAAGAUUGCUGCUCCGUCUCAUUAAAUGCAACCCUCAGAUGACAGAUGGACAAGCAAAGAAAGUGAUUGCCGAUUUUACUGCUAUGAUAGACAAAUGCUGCAAGCAAACAGGUGCUGCGACAUACUUGGGGGAAGAGGUAUUUCAUAUCUUUACAAACCACUUGACAACAAAAGCUGACAUAGCAAAUAUCGGUGAACACGUUUAGAUCAAGUAAUUCAGCCAGCUAGAGUGGCCGUUUGUACAGCCAGUUUUGCCAUGCGUUUGCCCACAGAUAAUAAACUACACCUUUAUGUACACACAGACUAAUUAAUCUUUACAUUGCACUGCAAAACAUGUCACCCAUGACACACAUAAGGUAAUUUCCUUGUGACUGAUCCACUUCAGGCAUCUCACACGGGAAAGUUGAAAAUUAUAGGAACAGAUGGUUUAUGUAAAAGGAGGCACCCCCAAAAAUAAUGAAAACAGAUGAAGAGCUGAGGUGAUUGUGGUCUCAAGUUAUGUAAUCCACUUCUUUUUUCCAGUUUCAACAGCAUUCGUUCCUUUAAGUUUGCUAUCUCUGCAUGCUAUGUCAGAACAACUCCACAGAAGAAAUCAACAUUUCAAAAAAAGCCAAAACAAACCUAUGUGCAGCAAUUGAGAGGUCUCAAACCACAGUUUCAGAACGUGUAAAUAUCGGUUCCUAAGCCUAAAUUUUGCACUGAAAGGAAAUUAAUAACUUGACGGUAUUUCAGACUUACCAUACAUUUUGGUUACAUUUUCCUUAUUAUCAUGAUCCCCUUCAGUGUGAGCUCAUUAGCUCCAGAGGAAGUAUUCUCUAUAAACAGUUAAGAAAAUUAGUGUGUCUAGAAUGGUACAUUCUGUGUCUCUUGACACCAGACUAGUAGACAUAAACUGUAUGAAAGGUUGUGCUCACAGUCCCCUUUGACUCUCUCUCUCCUAUGUUUGUAGUCUUCUAGUUUGCAAACCUGAUAGCCCAAACUACAGCCAUCUUAGGAAAUGGUAUCUAAAGCCCUGCACAUAACAGCAACAACAUCCCUCUACUACACAUAAAUAUUCAGACCAACUAGAUGCAUAAUUAGAUGAAAAAUUUCUUCACUAUACUAUCACAAGCAAAACCUAAUGUCAUAAGACAAAAGGCCUCAGUGAGUUCUAGAAAAAGAUGACUGCAAAACAAAAUUGUAGAAGAGAAGAAGAUUUCAAAACACAGCACAAAAGGCAGGAACACUCUUGGCUCUUCAAGAACUCUAAGUUUGAGACUAUGAACUAGACAUCUUCCUUGAUGAGAGCGCUCCUCUAAUAUCACUAGUACUAAAGCUUUUCAACGGCUUUGACUCACAUAAUGAAUCAACACUCCGUUGAGAUGCAGGUUUUGACAAGGCAUCCACAAGGUGGAUCAGGAACAUAAAUGUCCGUUUUCAGAACACAGCACACAUCAAGGAUGGUUUUUACAAGCUGAAACUGAUAAGGUCUUGCAUUCAGGGAAAUCCAGCUUUCUGUGGCCUUUGUCUUUUUUUUUUUUUUUUUGGUGUUGCAGUUCCAAUUCA